rnacentral:rRNA from 1 species
AACGAACGCUGGCGGCAGGCCUUAUACAUGCAAGUCGAGCGAGAACGGUACUUCGGUACUUAUUAGAGCGGCGAACGGGUGAGUAACGCGUGGGAACAUACACAGCACUGGGGGAUAACCAUUGGAAACGAUGGCUAAUACCGCAUACGCCCUACGGGGGAAAGAUUUAUUGGUGUUGGAUUGGCCCGCGUUAGAUUAGCUAGUUGGUACGGUAAUGGCGUACCAAGGCAACGAUCUAUAGCUGGUUUGAGAGGAUGAUCAGCCACACUGGAACUGAGACACGGUCCAGACUCCUACGGGAGGCAGCA